rnacentral:rRNA from 1 species
GACGAACGCUGGCGGCGUGCCUAAUACAUGCCAGUCGAACGCACAGUUUAUACCGUAGCUUGCUACACCAUAGACUGUGAGUUGCGAACGGGUGAGUAACGCGUAGGUAACCUGCCUGGUAGCGGGGGAUAACUAUUGGAAACGAUAGCUAAUACCGCAUAAUAUUGAUUAUUGCAUGAUAAUUGAUUGAAAGAUGCUAUUGCAUCACUACCAGAUGGACCUGCGUUGUAUUAGCUAGUAGGUGAGGUAACGGCUCACCUAGGCGACGAUACAUAGCCGACCUGAGAGGGUGAUCGGCCACACUGGGACUGAGACACGGCCCAGACUCCUACGGGAGGCAGCAGUAGGGAAUCUUCGGCAAUGGACGAAAGUCUGACCGAGCAACGCCGCGUGAGUGAAGAAGGGUGUCGGAUCGUAAAGCUCUGUUGUAAGAGAAGAACGGGUGUGAGAGUGGAAAGUUCACACUGUGACGGUAGCUUACCAGAAAGGGACGGCUAACUACGUG